rnacentral:rRNA from 1 species
GUUAGGAGAAGAAGAGAGAAUUAAAGAUGGUGUGUGCUUGUGGACCCGGCCGGGUGGAAUGGACUCCAACUGACGGUACCUUGUGACUGAUUGUGACUGACUGGCGCCCUGAGAGUCUUCUUAUUUAAUACUUUAUCUAUCUCAUUGCAGGAGGAGUGAUUCUGUUCCCUGUUUCCUAACUACCAGAUUACCUAUUUAACUACUACCCUGUUCAGAAUAAUUGUAAUAUUAAAUGAUUACUUAUAUUGGGAUGAUUUGUCUGAAUUGAUUUAGUUGGAAUCACAUUCUAGCCACGACAGUACUUUCUGUGCCUACCAUGGUGACCACAGGUAACGAGAAAUCAGGGUUUGAUUCCGGAGAGGGAGCCUGAGAAAUGGCUACCACAUCAAAGGAAGGCAGCAGGCGCACAAAUUACCCACUCCCGACUCGGGGAGGUAGUAACAAAAAAUAACAAUACAGGACUCUUUCGAGGCCUAGUAAUUGGAAUGAGUACACUUUAAAUCCUUUAACAAGGAUCAAUUGGAGGGCAAGUCCGGUGCCAGCAGCCACGGUAAUUCCAGCUCCAAUAGCGUAUCUUAAAGUUGCUGCAGUUAAAAAGCUCGUAGUUGGAUCUCGGGAUCGAGCUGACGGUCCGCCACGAGGCGAGCUACUGUCUGUCCCAGCCCCUGCCUCUCGGCACCCCCUCAAUGCUCUUAGCUGAGUGUCCCGUGGGUCCGAAGCAUUUACUUUGAAAAAAUUAGAGUGUUCAAAAUAAGCCCGGUCACCUGAAUACCGCACCUAGGAAUAAUGGAAUAGGACUCCGGUUCUAUUUUGUGAGUUUUCUCUAUCUGAACUUGGGCCAUGAUUAAGAGGGACGGACGGGGGCAUUCGUAUUGUGCCGCUAGAGGUGAAAUUCUUGGACCAGCGCAAGACGGAAAAGUGAACACAUGUGCCAAGAAUGUUAAUUAAUGAAUGAAUUAAUCAAGAACGAAAGUCGGAGGUUCGAAAAUGAUCAGAUACCGUCAUAGUUCCGACCAUAAACGAUGCCAACUAGCGAUUUGGCAGCAUUAUUUCCAUGACCUGCUGGGAAACCAAGGUCUUUGGGUUCUGGGGGAGUAUGGUUGCAAAACUGAAACUUAAAGGAAUUGACGGAAGGGCACCACCAGGAUUGGAGCCUGUGGCUUAAUUUGACUCAACACGGGAAACCUCACCCGGCCUGGACACGGAUUGACAGAUUGAUAGCUCUUUCUCUAUUCUGUGGGUGGUGGUGCAUGUCCGUUCUUAGUUGGUGGAGCGAUUUGUCUGGUUAAUUCCGAUAAUGAAUGAGACUCUGACUAGUUAUGUGGCCCUGUGCGGUCGGCGUCCAACUUCUUAGAGAGACAAGUGACUUUCAGCAAUUGACCUUUCAGCAAGUGAUUGAGCAAUAAACCUUGCCCCUCCCACUGUCAUGGGGGGUUCUCAACAGCCCACAGCUCCUGAGCAGUCACCGCCCACCCAUCCCCUCAGCCUCACGGUGGACCAGGUCAGGAGGGAGUUAAGAAGGAUUAAGGCCAGGAAGGCCACAGGCCCUGACCACAUGGUGGUUAUGGCGAAACUAAAACUCAUCCUGCAAACCCCCUCCAUCCCCUGCACCACACAGUGGUGGCUCUGAACAGAUCUUUUAGCACAAGACUGUUACAUCCCCAGAAUAAGAAGGAACAUUACCACAGGUCAUUCCUCCCCACAGCCAUCAGACUGUACAACA